rnacentral:sRNA from 1 species
AGAGGCGGCGUGGAGAGCGCUGGGAGCGGUUGCGGCGUGCGGGGAGCUGAGGUAUAGCUGUGACUUCUGCCCUGCCAGGCCGCGCACGAGCUGGCUGACCCGGUUUGUAAAAAUGGAAUUUCAAGCAGUAGUGAUGGCAGUAGGUGGAGGAUCUCGGAUGACAGACCUAACUUCCAGCAUUCCCAAACCUCUGCUUCCAGUUGGGAACAAACCUUUAAUUUGGUACCCAUUGAACCUGCUUGAGCGUGUUGGAUUUGAAGAAGUCAUUGUGGUUACAACCAGGGAUGUUCAAAAGGCUCUAUGUGCAGAAUUCAAGAUGAAAAUGAAGCCAGAUAUUGUGUGUAUUCCUGAUGAUGCUGACAUGGGAACUGCAGAUUCUUUGCGCUACAUAUAUCCAAAACUUAAGGCUGGAGUGCAAUGGCGUGAUCUUGGCUCACCGCAACCUCUGCCUCCCAGGUUCAAGCGAUUCUCCUGCCUCACCUUCCUGAGUAGCUGGGAUUACAGCUACCCAAACCUCUUUCCCUGACUUAUCAAGAGAGAUUAUUGGUUCAUUCAUUCUCC